rnacentral:rRNA from 1 species
UACGGAGGGUGCGAGCGUUGUUCGGAAUCACUGGGCUUAAAGGGCGCGUAGGCGGUUGAUCAAGUCUGGGGUGAAAUCUUUCGGCUUAACCGGAAAAGUGCCUUGGAUACUGGUCAGCUGGAGGGAGGUAGGGGCAGUUGGAACUUCCAGUGGAGCGGUGAAAUGCGUUGAUAUUGGAAGGAACGCCGGUGGCGAAAGCGAGCUGCUGGACCUCUUCUGACGCUGAUGCGCGAAAGCUAGGGAGCAAACGGG